CAGGCUGUGGCACAUCCACACGUAUCUCGCAGCCAGUGCUGCUGUGUGUCCCUCUCCUAAUAGUAUCUUUAUUUGUUCUGUUUCACUAAUGGCUGUAAAGUUCUUUAUUAAGUUGGUGCAUUUGUUGAAGUAGAGGUUUCUUAUGGAUAUGUAUUUCUGACAGUGAAGGAGGAAGUGCGUCUCUGUCUUGAUCUCUCCUGUCUGACAGUGAGCACACACUCUCUGCUCUCUGGGUAACCAGCUCUUUCUGUGUCUGCCCGUCUCGAUGGCUAGACUGUGCUCACCGAGCCUGUACUUGCUCAGGAUCCGUCUCUGCUUUGUGUCUCUGACACUAUGGAGAUAAUCUUCCAAUUUAUAAUUUUUUUAUUUUAGAGUUCGAUAGAAUUGUUUUAGUUUCCUGGUCCCAGUGUUCCAGAUAUGUAUUUUUAGACUGUUUGAUAAUUAGAUUUAUUUUGAUGUUUGGGUGAGAAGCAGUGCUAUAGCCUUUGAUUAUUUAAUAUUAUUAUUUCUUCACACAUAUCUUGUUAUUAAAGGCAACACACUCAUGCUAUUCUAUUUACAUUUUAAAUUAUCUAAAUAUAGUGUGGACAAAUAAUGAAUUUGUUUUCCCUUUAGAAAAGUCAUGUUGACUUUCCACAAAUACUCAUUCUACAAUUGAGCCCCUUCCGACAUGACCACCGUCGAGUAAGAAUUCCUGCAAAAACUGAGGUUUACUUCCAACAAUAUGAGCUUUAUGCCAUAAUAAACCUUUAUGGAUCACUGAAAGAUGGACACUAUAAUACUAACAUCAAAUCUGACAAUCAGAACUGGUAUCGAUGUAAUGACAGCCAUGUAUUUCAGAACAGAACAGAAGCGGUGCGCUCGAUGAAAGAGAGAAAGCGGACAGAAGAAGCAGUGAAAUGUAGCAUCACUGACCUGUUCAGGGCUUCAACUGCAGAUUCCUGACCUGAUGUUUUCAGAACGUAAGGAUAUAUUGUGGAAGAUUCAAGAGUUUUUUUGGUCUUCAUCUUCAGAUUCAUGCCAUUCACACUCACACAGCUCUGCCUAUCUACUCUUUUACAAAAAGUGUGAAAAAGUGUAAAAGUGGAUUGACUGAAUCAGUAAAAAGACACAGAGCAGAAUAUCAUCAUUUAGGGUGAAAAAUGCUAUAUAAGCAGAAUUUAACCAGGCUCAAAGGCUUCCAGUAAAUGACUGUGAAUGUAUUUAUAAAUCUCUCUGCUCAACAGCUGAUGAAUUGAAACAGGUGCGUCACAAACAUAUAUAAGUGUCGUGCUGUUGUCAGGAUUAAGAAGGACUGGUCUGCUUAAUGUAUAUGCUUCGAAGACAAUUUUCAGUUUGAAUAUUGAUGUCAUUUAUUUUCGUGCAUGUAGUAAGACAUAUUUUAUAGGCAUCGUAUUAAUCAAACUAUAUAAUGAUUAAGUGUUAAUAAGAGAAGUCCCAUUAUCUGCUACUAAGUAUGUAGAAUUAUUAUCAAUUACACUGCUGUAAAAGGAUGUAGUUUGGAAUAAUAUGUAUUCAUGUAAAGGAGUAUUCAUUUUUAUUAUAUCAAAAGUUGGUAUUGUGAACGCAUAAGAUGAAAUAUGUCACAUAAAUAUAUUUGUGUUACAUAAAAUAACC
ensembl:lncRNA